rnacentral:misc_RNA from 1 species
GCAAACUUGGUCAUUUAGAGGAAGUAAAAGUCGUAACAAGGUCUCCGUUGGUGAACCAGCGGAGGGAUCAUUACCGAGUUUUAUUACUCAAAACCCUGCGAACCUACCUCUACGUGCUUCGGCGGCCGGCCCCCGGGGGGGCGUCAAAAACGGUCGCCGACAGCAUUCAAAAUCUCUAUCAGUGUAUUCUGAGUACAAAAAAAAAACAAAUCAAAACCUUCAACAACGGAUCUCUUGGUUCUGGCAUCGAUGAAGAACGCAGC